rnacentral:rRNA from 1 species
CAUGCCUAAGACAUGCAAGUCGAACGAGACGGCCCAAUGAAGAUGGAGUGCUUGCACAAAGUUGGAUUUGGUUUACCACUUAGUGGCGCAAGGGUGAGUAACACGUGGGUAAUCUACCUUCGAGUCUGGAAUAACAGUUAGAAAUGAUUGCUAAUGCCGGAUGAAAUUGGGAACGAAAUUUCAUUCUUUAUUAAAAGGAGCCUUUAAAGCUUCGCUUGAAGAUGAGCCUGCGACGUAUUAGCUAGUUGGUGGGGUAAGGGCCUACCAAGGCAACGAUGCGUAGCCGACCUGAGAGGGUGAUCGGCCACACUGGGACUGAGACACGGCCCAGACUCCUACGGGAGACAGCAGUUAGGAAUAUUCGUCAAUGGGGGAAACCCUGAACGAGCAAUGCCGCGUGAAGGAUGACGGUCCUAUGGAUUGUAAACUUCUGUUGUUAGGGAAGAACGACUAGUGUAGGAAAUGACACUAGAGUGACGGUACCUUUCAAGAAAGCUCCGGCUAACUACGUG